GAUCGUAACGGGGCAUGUGUGUCCCCUGUCGAUGACGAGGAGCUGUGUAAUGCUACUUCUAGUCUGUCGCUCGUUGAUUUAGCUACCUGACGCUUGACGCGAACACUUCACCACUGGAAUCCCAAGGGGCUGACUGUUACGGCUACUGCGGGUGGAAGGCAUGCAGAGCUGGAAAUGAAAGGACAAAGACGGAGAAAGUGAAAGUGCCUCCGAGCUUGCAGACCAAGAUCCAGCUGCUCUUGUGGAAUAAGCACUCCUCAGGCGGUUGCAGUCCUGGAUCAUCGUCGCAAAGAGUGGGCACAAACAGGAACCUCCAACGCUUGUCCCUGUGGAGCCAUGGACAAGGACCCAUCCACUA